CCUACGGGUGGCAGCAGUGGGGAAUAUUGGACAAUGGGGGCAACCCUGAUCCAGCCAUGCCGCGUGUGUGAAGAAGGCCCUCGGGUUGUAAAGCACUUUCAGUGAGGAAGAACGCCUGGUGGUUAAUACCCAUCAGGAAAGACAUCACUCACAGAAGAAGCACCGGCUAACUCCGUGCCAGCAGCCGCGGUAAUACGGAGGGUGCGAGCGUUAAUCGGAAUUACUGGGCGUAAAGCGCGCGUAGGUGGCUUGAUAAGCCGGUUGUGAAAGCCCCGGGCUCAACCUGGGAACGGCAUCCGGAACUGUCAAGCUAGAGUGCAGGAGAGGAAGGUAGAAUUCCCGGUGUAGCGGUGAAAGGCGUAGAGAUCGGGAGGAAUACCAGUGGCGAAGGCGGCCUUCUGGACUGACACUGACACUGAGGUGCGAAAGCGUGGGUAGCAAACAGGAUUAGAUACCCCGGUAGUC
rnacentral:rRNA from 1 species